rnacentral:rRNA from 1 species
GGGAAUCUGCCCCUUGGUUCGGAAUAACAGUUAGAAAUGACUGCUAAUACCGGAUAACGACGUAAGUCCAAAGAUUUAUCGCCGAGGGAUGAGCCCGCGUAGGAUUAGCUAGUUGGUGUGGUAAAGGCGCACCAAGGCGACGAUCCUUAGCUGGUCUGAGAGGAUGAUCAGCCACACUGGGACUGAGACACGGCCCAGACUCCUACGGGAGGCAGCAGUGGGGAAUAUUGGACAAUGGGCGAAAGCCUGAUCCAGCAAUGCCGCGUGAGUGAUGAAGGCCUUAGGGUUGUAAAGCUCUUUUACCCGGGAUGAUAAUGACAGUACCGGGAGAAUAAGCCCCGGCUAACUCCGUGCCAGCAGCCGCGGUAAUACGGAGGGGGCUAGCGUUAUUCGGAAUUACUGGGCGUAAAGCGCACGUAGGCGGCCUUGUAAGUUAGAGGUGAAAGCCUGGAGCUCAACUCCAGAAUUGCCUUUAAGACUGCAUCGCUUGAAUCCAGGAGAGGUGAGUGGAAUUCCGAGU